rnacentral:misc_RNA from 1 species
GUCUUGUUCGUGCAACCGGGCGCGGUGAUCGCACAGGCCGACACCAGCGUUGAGAUUACCUUCUGGAACUCGGUGAAAGACUCAAAAAAUCCCGCUGAAAUCUCAGCCUACCUCGAUAAAUAUCCGAANCGGCACAUUCGCAGCACUCGCCAGGAUACGGCUGGACGCCCUGAAACAGAAAGCCACCCAGCCUCCCGGCGAACAAUGGGCGGCCAUCGGAUUUGCGGCGCGCGGCGCCUGGGGCGCGGUGUGGCAGAAGGCGACGCG